rnacentral:rRNA from 1 species
AAAUAACAAUACGGGGCUUAAUGUCUUGUAAUUGGAAUGAUGGGAAUUUAAACCUCUUCCAGAGUAUCAAUUGGAGGGCAAGUCUGGUGCCAGCAGCCGCGGUAAUUCCAGCUCCAAUAGCGUAUAUUAAAAUUGUUGCAGUUAAAAAGCUCGUAGUUGAAUUUCUGCUGCAUUUCAUUUCUCUUUCUGAGUUUGUUUUUGCGGCUUAUUUCGGUUUGAUUUUUUCUUUCCGGAUGAUUACUUUGAGAAAAUUAGAGUGCUCAAAGCAGGCUUUUGCCUUGAAUAGUUUAGCAUGGAAUAAUAAAGUAGGACUUUGGUUCUAUUUUGUUGGUUUUAGGUACCAAAGUAAUGGUUAAUAGGAACAGUUGGGGGCAUUCGUAUUUA